GGCAUGGCAAUCUGCAGAACAAAAAGAGCAGAGCCCCAUGUUAGUGAAGGGCUGCUGAUCCAGCAUGACAGUGCCCAUCCUUGUAAGUCCUGACCAUGGGGCCUCUGAGCCCCCACCCUACAGUCCCAAGGUUGAGCAAUGGGAGGUUCACUGGUGCUGUGAAAUUGAACACCUUAGCAAGAAUGCUCCCCACAAUACAAGAAAAUGUGUCAGAGAAUAAUAGAAUAGUAGUAAAAUAGAAUAAUAGUAUAAUAGAACUCUUCAUUAGAAGGACCCAUAGAGUUCACCUAGUCCAGCUCCCUUGCAAUGAACGGGGACACCAACAGCUAGAUCAGGUGCUCAGAACCCCGUCCAGCCUGGCCUUGAAUGUCUCCUGGAAAAAGGCAUUCAUCACUCUCUGGGCAACCUGUUCCAGUGCUUCACCACCCUUACUGUAAAAAACUUCUUUAUUAUACCCAGUCUAAAUCUCUUGUCUUUUAGUUUGAAGCCAUUUCCCCUUGUCCUAUCACAGCAACUAAAUAGUGUGUCACCCCCAUUAAAUGCAUUUCUCAGGGUCACGUCUCUCUGGGGCACUCCUGGAUGAGUGGCUCUUCAUCUUGCAGGCUUCCAGCACAAGAACUAGCUCAGCUAAGUCUUUUCUCAUAUAAAUAGCCUGUUGGCACAUAAACCAUGCUCAGGGGCUGCAUUCUACCAAUAAAUUCUGGUUUCUGCUCUGAACAUCCACCUAUCCCUUCAGCAACAAGUCUUCCAACCAUGCUUUUGCACAACAGCCUUCACUCUUGCCUUGCAGCUGUCUGUUGCAAUGUUAUACUGUGGGAAUAGGAUGUAUCUAGUUUUAUGUUUGGCAGUCGGCACUGCAGAAGGUCCCUGACAUCCGUAUUCUGACUCCUGCAAUGGUACCUGUAGUAGGCUACCAGCACUUGUUGUUCUGUCCCUUGAACGUGCCCCGCUGUUUAAAUUCUUCCUGUGCAAUCUUCAUUUCCCUCCCCUAUAGCUUAUAGCUGCAUGGGUAACUAUUAAUAGCACAUUGCUCCCAGAAGACCUGCACUGGAAAUGCAGAGCCUGGGGUACGAAGAACUGAGGGCUUUUGACACUUUACCAAAAGCCAGUCCAGGCUGUCCCCUUAUCAAAAGUGCCAUCCCACUGCAGUUUACAUGGUGUGCCCAGCUGCAUGUGCAAAUCGUAUCAGCACAAGUCCCAUGGGCUCUGUCAAGGAGCUGGGCAGCAAAGCCUCACUCUGCAUCAGUCUGGCUGCCCUCUGCCCUGCAGAUAGGAAGCCUCAGCUCCCAGAGCCUGAAAACUCUGUCAGGUUACCGACAAAGAGGAAAAGGCACUGGGGAGUCAAGAGAUUCAGGCUUGUUUCCCAGAUUUGAAACAGUUGUCUCUCAUGGCCUUGUGCAAAAUGCUUUUUCUCCACUCCCUCCGGGUCCUUAUCAGGAAAACUGGAACAGCAGCUUCUCGACUCCCUUCUGUCCUGCCUGCCCCAGUGCUAAUGGGAAGAGUUUUGCUGAACGUGGUAGAGCACAACCCAGCACAAGGAGUUCUCACAAGGGCAGUGGUGGGCCCACGUCCUAAACACCACCAUAAGCAACCAGGUUAGGAGCCAACAUUCCCUGCUUAAUAUCAAACUCUGCUUUUUCUGAUAAUGUGGUAUAUGAAGAGAUUGUAUUCUGCACUGAAAAGCUGCCCUGGGGUUGUGAGAGAUGUGCAGCCCUGUAGCCUCAGGAUGCUCUAGGUUCUCUGUCAGGUUUUUAUGGGAACACAGCAGGCGUGGUUUAUAUGGGUACAGAGCAUGUCUAGGGGGAGCAUGACAUUCACAUGGUGAUGUGGGACGCCAGUAGCAGAGCUUGCAGGGCUGCACACCUCUGUGGUGCCCACUGACCCUACUCAUAUAUUCCCAGACCCUUGAGGAGAACAUCAUCGAGUUCCUAAUUCUUUUGGAUGUCUGCAGACCUCGUAUAAGAAAUUACAGUGCAAAUAUCCCAGGGUGAUUUUCCUGCCUGGAAACCUUCCAGGUUUUUAGCACGUGAGUUUCGUUUCAUACUGGUAAGCAUGCAGCUCUUCGUAUCUGGCAGCACUCCGAGCUGAAACACCGCUGUGGGAGAAGAGGACUUUCUUUUUGCCUUUGGUUGAUCACCUCCUAUGUGUCCAGUGUCUCCGCCACGGUGAGCUGCAAGGUGCAAACUUCUACAAGGGCUCAAUGCAGCAACAGCAGAAAUUGCCCCAAAAAGCAGUGUUGCAAAGAGUCUUUUGCAUGUUGGAAUUUUACAAAUCUCCAAUGAGGAAAAAAAACUCUUCAUGGUGAUGUGCCAGGCUGGGCUGCAGCCAGCAGACCUGGAGUGGGAGCAGCUGGGUGGCAGAGCAUGGUGGGAGCACUGCAGCCAGGAGCCUUCACUGCAGACUCACUCACAUACUGCAGCCCUUUGGAGAGGAUCAUCUGCAUAAUUACAAGGAUCACAAAUUCUGCACUUCCCCUAUCAGUGAGCGUUUUCCUUUUGGGUACAGUAUGUUCCUGCAGAUUCCAACGAUAAACUGUCCUAAUGGUCUUUGCAGUCAUUUGAUGUAGCUACAUAAAAAUGUCCUAGCACUGCGCUGGAAGGCAGCUCCCCUCCGCGUGGAUCUGCAUGGGAACAGGGUGUGUGCAGCACGUCCCAUCCACGGGUAAGCUAAUCCUCUCUGCAGAUAAAACUUGCCAGCAAAACCUAGCCUGAAAAAGUAGUUACCGGGGUUGUUUAUUUUUCAAAGGAUGGAUAAAAUUUCAGAGCGAUAAAAUCACUUCCUUGAAAUGCUUUCAUUCAAAUAAUUUACUUCCUUCUGGAAGGCUUAAUCUUUCCUUUGCUGAACCUUUUUUUGGUUUUUUUUUUUUUUUCUUUUAAUUUUUGCUCCUUCCCCAGCAGGGCAGAGCUGGGCCAAUGUGCAGCUGUGAGCGUGAGCGCGGUGAGCGGGCAGCACGUGCCGUGCCAGCUGUGCCCAACGCGCACCGGCAGCCCUCCAGCAAACGUCCCAUUGUGCUGGUAAAUGUCUCAUUGUGCUCUGUUCCCAGGAGCCCCGCAGACCACGACAGUGAAAACUG
ensembl:lncRNA